AGUGGCGGACGGGUGAGUAACGCGUGAGUAACCUGCCUUUCAGAGGGGAAUAACGUCCUGAAAAGAACGCUAAUACCGCAUAAUGUACAGCUUUCGCAUGGAAGCAGUACCAAAGGAGCAAUCCGCUGAGAGAUGGACUCGCGUCCGAUUAGCUAGUUGGUGGGGUAAAGGCCUACCAAGGCGAUGAUCGGUAGCCGGACUGAGAGGUUGAACGGCCACAUUGGGACUGAGACACGGCCCAGACUCCUACGGGAGGCAGCAGUGGGGGAUAUUGCACAAUGGGGGAAACCCUGAUGCAGCAACGCCGCGUGUGGGAAGAAGGUUUUCGGAUUGUAAACCACUGUUCUUGAUGAAGAUAAUGACGGUAACCAAGGAGAAAGCUCCGGCUAACUACGUGCCAGCAGCCGCGGUAAUACGUAGGGAGCAAGCGUUGUCCGGAUUUACUGGGUGUAAAGGGUGCGUAGGCGGCUUUGCAAGUCAGACGUGAAAACCACAGGCUCAACCUGUGGACUGCGUUUGAAACUGUAGGGCUUGAGUGAAGUAGAGGUAGGCGGAAUUCCCGGUGUAACGGUGAAAUGCGUAGAGAUCGGGAGGAACACCAGUGGCGAAGGCGGCCUACUGGGCUUUAACUGACGCUGAGGCACGAAAGCAUGGGUAGCAAACAGGAUUAGAUACCCUGGUAGUCCAUGCCGUAAACGAUGAUUACUAGGUGU
rnacentral:rRNA from 1 species